rnacentral:rRNA from 1 species
AACGAACGCUGGCGGCAGGCCUAACACAUGCAAGUCGAACGCCCUGGCAACAGGGAGUGGCAGACGGGUGAGUAACGCGUGGGAACGUGCCCUCCGGUUCGGAAUAACUCAGGGAAACUUGAGCUAAUACCGGAUAAGUGCGAGAGCAGAAAGAUUUAUCGCCGAAGGAUCGGCCCGCGUCCGAUUAGCUAGUUGGUGAGGUAAUGGCUCACCAAGGCGACGAUCGGUAGCUGGUCUGAGAGGAUGACCAGCCACACUGGGACUGAGACACGGCCCAGACUCCUACGGGAGGCAGCAGUGGGGAAUAUUGGACAAUGGGCGCAAGCCUGAUCCAGCCAUGCCGCGUGAGUGAUGAAGGCCUUAGGGUUGUAAAGCUCUUUUGUCCGGGAAGAUAAUGACUGUACCGGAAGAAUAAGCCCCGGCUAACUUCGUGCCAGCCGCCGCCGUAA